rnacentral:rRNA from 1 species
AAUUGUUCGCAAUGGGCGCAAGCCUGACGACGCAACGCCGCGUGGAGGACGAAGAUCUUCGGGUCGUAAACUCCUUUCGAUCGGGAAGAAUGGCUCCGGGGUUAAUAGCCCUGGAGAGUGACGGUACCGAGUGAGGAAGCCCCGGCUAACUCUGUGCCAGCAGCCGCGGUAAUACAGAGGGUGCGAGCGUUGUCCGGAAUCCCUGGGCGUAAAGGGCGCGUAGGCGGCUUGACAAGCGUGCGGUGAAAGCUCGGGGCUCAACCCCGAGUCGGCCGUGCGAACUGUCAGGCUUGAGCACAGUAGAGGCAGAUGGAAUUCCGGGUGUAGCGGUGGAAUGCGUAGAGAUCCGGAAGAACACCGGUGGCGAAGGCGGUCUGCUGGGCUGUGGCUGACGCUGAUGCGCGACAGCGUGGGGAGCAAAC